AUGGCCAUAAGAAAGCCUAUAGGCAUAAAUAAAUAUGGACUGCCAACCACACGGAUAUUUCAGGUUCAGACGCAGACAGCAUGCCCAGACGAGAGGGCAGAGCGUGGGGCGGGGAGCCAGCAGGAGAAUUUCUCCGCUGCAGGAAAGAGACAGCUCCAUCUCAUGAGUCAGGGCCCCGCACCUGCGGAGAUGGCAGUGGCAGAGCACCCAUCCCUGCCAAAAAGGGCGUUUGUUCGAGGUGAGUGCUCAGUGCUCAGCAAAUGUCUUAUCUGCCCCGUGAUUUGGGAAGUGCAGCUCAUUCAGAGCGUGCUAAACAAAGCAAUGGGAAACGAGGCAACAGUGGAAAUCCCGCAGAAGCAGAGAAAAGACAAAGCCGCCCUCAGAAAGUUCAAUGUUUUUCGUUGUUUUUCUCUGAAUAAAGGAAAUUUAUUUGCUCUCAACAGAGAUAGGAAGAAAUUACAUCGCCCGUAGUAAUGCUGCCCCAAAGGAGGAACUAAGCUGGUUUGCUGUGGUGUAACAGAGAGCAGAAAUCUGCUGAGGAGCUGAGGACACGUGUGCUGCUCACGCUGGGUCUUCUAAAACUGCAUCCACUACGGUAGCCCAGAGAAACACCCAACCACUAACCCAGGCUAAUGAGGAUGCAGCCUGACACCCUGUGAAGAUGCACAGCACUCACUAAUUCAAUGGCUGUUGAGUUGCUACUAAGGAACAAACUGGUAGAUGGGGCCCCUAGAUCACUUGACUUUCUCUAUAGGACACCUCUGAGAGGCUCUGACGAAGCAACCCUUGCUGCCCGUUGCUUUCUUUCCCUCCUUCUCCAUGCUUUCCCCAGCAAGCAGCUACCUGGGUGGGAUUUCCCAGGUGCCCACGCAGGCGCUUGGCAGCCGUGCUGAUGCCCGGGGCUCCCUGAAAGAUGACGCUGCACACAGGGGGAGAUGCUGCACGCAGGUCCCACCCUGCGCAGGAUGCACCAACAUGUGCUGGAUUUUCCAGACCACUUGCAGGAUCUUCAGUAGGGAGCCCUGCGGUUCCUUCUACCCCAGUAUCCAAGCCUGCGAGGCACAGUUUGCAGGGACUGCAUGGCUCGUGGUGUCUGGGGAGUGGGCAGGCUGAACGAGCCAGGUUGGCACUGCUGUCAGAUCCGUGUGAAAGUCACAAAGGGCGAAUGAAGGCUGUGAUCAGGCUCGGGGUUUACACAGGGCAAAGGGAGAUGGCAAUCGGGUACAUUCAGUAGAUUAUCACUUCUGAAACAGCACCUUGCUCUAUCAGUUCCUCUCUUUGUUAUCAGAGCAAAACUCACACUUUCCUAGCUGAAAGUUCAGCCGAAACACAAAUGUCACUGAAAACCCAGAGAGACCUUUGCUUUUCGAGUUUCGCUCUCCUGAGCCCAGGGAAGAUUAUGCAACAGGAACCCUGGGUGAAUCAUCUUCUGGCACUGCAGUAAAUUAGGAAAUGUUUGCUGUAAUGUUGUAUGGGUUUCUACCAUCUAUUUUUUUGUUUGUUUGUUUUCCAGUGGAUCUUGGAGCCUUCAAAUUUCACGAGGCUGUUGCCCUCAUCUGAGCUAGGAAAAGGUUAGCAGUAGCUGCUGUAGCACAGCUCUAGAGAGGAGCUGCUGUAAGGAAGUGAUGCUACAGCAAUGCUGAAUGUCCUUGCUCAGCAUUUUUGGGUUGUUUUAGGGUGUUGUUUGUUUUUUUCUUUUUAGAUUUCCUGUGAAUAUUUCUUGCGAUUCUUUUCAUUGCUCGCUUUGUUUCUCUCCUGUAGCUUUUAACAUAGUAACCUAUCAGAUCACACAGCACCAAGGAAGGUCAAAGAGAUGUUCCUCAAAUACAUGAGAAUUCACACUCUCAGUCUUCCCUUUCCAAAUUUAAGGAUCGAAACAAGUUUCAGGAUGAAACAGAAAGUUUAAGAGAAAUACCAGUAUUGUGAGAUUCAGAGUAAAACCAUGAGUACUGCAAGGACUACAGGGGACAUCUACCAGACACUUGGUUAAGAUGUGUGAUGCCAUAAAUACCCUCUCCGUAAAGGUGCAAGCCUCGGAUGCAAUUUCAUUUCUGGUUAUUCCUUGUACCACUAUAUAUUUUUUUAAGAGCCAGAGGGUGGGAAGUCCUGCAAGCAGCUGAAGCUGGAACAGAAAUGGCAUGAAUGAACCCCCUUGUUGAUAAGCUGAGUGAGGGCACUGCUGAGCCACACGAUCUGUUUUGCUGGAUAUAAGCUUAAACUCCAGGCAAAUAAAAAGGGGCUUGAGCUUAUUAGCUUGCUCUGU
rnacentral:lncRNA from 1 species